UAAUGACUUACAACUGGAACUUAGAAGCCACUUAGUCUAACCUCGCCAUUUUACACAUCCUGAAACUGAGAGCCAAAGGGAAGAAGCCAUCUACACAAAAUCAAGCAGACAGGCUGAGACUAAAAGACAUCUACCAGCCUCCCAAGACUUCGAAAGAAGUAAUCCCUGUGAUGUUAAAGAAUGAUAGAACAGGCAAUAAAUACCUAUGGGAAAUGGCGUGCACACAGAACACCACUUGCUCCAUAGAAUCUUCCUCCUCCAUGAGCUCACCAAUGCUUCUCCAUGCUUAUAACUGUGGAAGGAAUAAAGCUUUUUACUGACCUGUACUCUAAAAUCCUAAAGAAGAAUAUGAAAAUGAUACAACAGAACACAUAGACUCAAAACAAGAUCAAGAAACUGAUGUGGAUAGAGAGCAACAUGAAGAAACAAAGAAGUUACUCCUGAAUGGAAAAGAUGAAUUGUAAAUAUCUUUCGCUAUUGGAAAACAGUG